rnacentral:rRNA from 1 species
AUUGAACGCUGGCGGAAUGCUUUACACAUGCAAGUCGAACGGCAGCACGGACUUCGGUCUGGUGGCGAGUGGCGAACGGGUGAGUAACAUAUCGGAACGUAUCCAAUAAUGGGGGAUAACUAAUCGAAAGGUUGGCUAAUACCGCAUACGCCCUGAGGGGGAAAGCUAGGGAUCUUCGGACCUGGCGUUAAUGGAGCGGCCGAUAUCUGAUUAGCUAGUUGGUGGGGUAAAGGCCCACCAAGGCGACGAUCAGUAGCUGGUCUGAGAGGACGACCAGCCACACUGGAACUGAGACACGGCCCAGACUCCUACGGGAGGCAGCAGUGGGGAAUUUUGGACAAUGGGCGAAAGCCUGAUCCAGCUAUGCCGCGUGUGUGAAGAAGGCCUGCGGGUUGUAAAGCACUUUCAGUGGGGAAGAACGGGCCAAGGUUAAUACCCCUGGCUUCUGACGUUACCCACAGAAGAAGCACCGGCUAACUCCGUG